ACAUAAAAGAAUAUUUACAGUAAACUUGCCUCUACUAUGAGUGUGUUCUAGAGCCAUUGCUAUAACUUGUCUAACUUAUUCAACCUCUAUGUUCAACCUUCAUGCAGAAAAAGUAGGUACGAGCGCGUACACGCAGUGCCUGAUUGGACAAAAAAACCUUUUUGAAAACAUGUGAUAUUUGCACUGAAAAAUUAAUUCCAUUAUCCGAAUUAAAACAAACCACAGAAGAUAAACGCAUAUUACCUCGAUAACUUAUCACACAAAACACCAAAUUUCCGAUAGUGCUUUUUUUAGCCGUUGGGAAGUUGGUGGCUUUUCCUGAGGAAAUGAAUUAUCAGUUCUUAUAUUAAUUAAAGCGCCCUGGUUCUUACGUUAUAACCUCCAACGCUCUAUUCAUUUCGCCUACAUGAAGUACGACUUAAACCACGUGGAUAUCCUGUUCAAAAUUCUAAGCAAUUCAGUACGUGUUCUUGUGCCAUUAAUAUGACAAUAUCUGUUGCUUUUUCAUUCAUUUUUUUGUAAUCUGAAUACGUCUCAACUGACAAGAAAUACGCAAAUAAAUGGCGUGUGUGCGAGAUCUAUUCCGUGACAUUAAUUUAUUACUUGAACAAUGAACACACAACAGGCUAUCCGUGAUUGGCGUAAACUACGCGUGGUAUUUUCGCUAACAGCCAUUCAAAUUUACAAUUUUAUUAGCCAUUUUACGUCAUUUAGUAAGCAAUUAUAAAAUGAUUUUGAUUGUUAAGUAAAUAUUUCAGCAGUUUAUUGCUCCUUGGUUCGAAUUCUCGCCUCCGUUCAUGACUAUUAAGGCUUCAGAAUUUUAAUUUGAUCGUGCAAUUCAACUGGGAACAAAUUUUCGGACACACGCAAGUAUCGACGGAACACGGAAAUUUUCAUAAAAAAUUGUGACGGCAUGCAA